AGCGAAACUGCGAAUGGCUCAUUAUAUAAGUUAUCGUUUAUUUGAUAGUACCUUACUACUUGGAUAACCGUGGUAAUUCUAGAGCUAAUACAUGCUAAAAAUCCCGACUUCGGAAGGGAUGUAUUUAUUAGAUUAAAAACCAAUGCCCUCUGGGCUCUUUGGUGAUUCAUGAUAACUUCUCGAAUCGCACGGCCUUGCGCCGGCGAUGGUUCAUUCAAAUUUCUUCCCUAUCAACUUUCGAUGUUUGGGUAUUGGCCAAACAUGGUUGCAACGGGUAACGGAGGGUUAGGGCUCGACCCCGGAGAAGGAGCCUGAGAAACGGCUACUACAUCCAAGGAAGGCAGCAGGCGCGCAAAUUACCCAAUCCCGACACGGGGAGGUAGUGACAAUAAAUACUGAUACAGGGCUCUUUUGGGUCUUGUAAUUGGAAUGAGUACAAUUUAAAUCCCUUAACGAGGAACAAUUGGAGGGCAAGUCUGGUGCCAGCAGCCGCGGUAAUUCCAGCUCCAAUAGCGUAUAUUAAAGUUGUUGUGGUUAAAAAGCUCGUAGUUGAACCUUGGGCCUGGCUGGCCGGUCCGCCUCACCGCGUGUACUGGUCCGGCCGGGCCUUUCCCUCUGUGGAACCUCAUGCCCUUCACUGGGUGUGACGGGGAAACAGGACUUUUACUUUGAAAAAAUUAGAGUGCUCCAGGCAGGCCUAUGCUCGAAUACAUUAGCAUGGAAUAAUAAAAUAGGACGUGUGGUUCUAUUUUGUUGGUUUCUAGGACCGCCGUAAUGAUUAAUAGGGACAGUCGGGGGCAUCAGUAUUCAAUUGUCAGAGGUGAAAUUCUUGGAUUUAUUGAAGACUAACUACUGCGAAAGCAUUUGCCAAGGAUGUUUUCAUUAAUCAGGAACGAAAGUUAGGGGAUCGAAGACGAUCAGAUACCGUCGUAGUCUUAACCAUAAACUAUGCCGACUAGGGAUCGGACGAUGUUAUUUUUUGACGCGUUCGGCACCUUACGAGAAAUC
rnacentral:rRNA from 1 species